CUUCUCCAAUACGACAGCGUCUAAGGCAAGGCAAGUAAUUCUUUUCUUCCUUUCCUUACACUGUCGGCUCUAAAGCCAACAAAAGAGAAGAUUUUCCUCAGGCCUUCUUCCUUCACACGAGAGGCUUUCGGUUUCCACUCACCGUGCGAUUUCUCUCACUCCUUCAAGCCGAUCCCUCUCAAUUCAUAAACCCAAGCUUUCCAUUGAAAAAUCCUCAAGGAAACCAACCCCGAAUUUUCUAGUUGUAUUCCAGCCUUGAGAUUUUGGAUUUUUCUCUCCCUCUUCUCGUUGCUGUGUUUCCAUGGCUUGAAAAGGGGAUCAAAUCAGGAGUUUAUUUUCAAGACUCAAGGAACUUACUUGUAAAGCCACGAGGUAUGAAUGAUGAGACUGUGGAGUUAGGCACUGCUAAGGAGGGAAGGGCUGAUGCUUAGAAUUCCCUGUUGGUUCGGUUUGAUGAUAAUGGUUAUGUUUUUAUGUUUUAAACAUCCAGGUAUGAAUGAUGAGACUGUGGAGUUAGGCACUGCUAAGGAGGGAAGGGCUGAUGCUUAGAAUUCCCUGUUGGUUCGGUUUGAUGAUAAUGGUUAUGUUUUAUGAUGGGUUCCAUGUUGGGACGUUUUGUUGGUUUGACUUUAAGACAAAAUAUGUCUUUGAGCAUGAUCUAGCUACUGUGGUGGGUUGUUGGUAAUAGUGUAACUUUUGUAGCGGGGUGAUGGUAACCCCAUAUAAGAAGGUUAAAUGUCUUUUGGGUGUGUUGUAGGGACGGAGUCCCCUUUUUAUUGGAACUAGCGAUGUUUUAAAUGAAUGAAUGGUGGACUCUGAGAAUCCUUUGGGUAAUA